AUACCGCGGCCGCUGAUGAAACAUACAUAGACGCUGCGUUGUUGGUAUCGGUUUAUUCUGUAUAAGUGUAUAGUUUCAGAGCUUCGCAUCCGCUCUUGGGAGAGUUUUGAGUCUGUUGGUUAGAAGCAACUUGGAAGCAGUGAUUAUACGUUAUUAACUUUUUUACUUUUGACCUUAUAUCUAUAAUAUAUAGACGCUAUAGCCUAGCUAUAAAUAAAUAGUCAGCGUUGCUGCGUUCUGAGUCGUGUGAGAAAGACAAUAGGAAAUACGUUUACGCACCCAUUGAACUUGAACACUGAUAUAUUUAUUCUAAUUCGGUGUCCGUGCCAAUAUAAUGGAUAGUAACCAAUCAAAAUUUAGCCGACACAAAAGCGGCGCUCAAAAAAGAAAAGCCGCCGAGGAAAAGAUAGAAAGAGUAAAGAAACUUCCCAAAAUAACAAGUUUUUUAAGUAAACCUAAACCUCCAAUUGAAAAGGAUUCCACUGAAAAUAGUUCUGACUUAGGAAACGCAAACAUUGAGAGUAGUGAUGGUACUAUAAUAAGCAGCACUAAUGAUGAUAAUUCGCACGAUGGAAAUUUAAAAGAAAAUUCAGCAGAAUCAGUGCCUUCAACAGGUAAAUCGGAUGCAACCCUUUCCCUUGAACGUUGGAAAGGCAUUGCCACCUAAUAAGAAUCCGGUGAAAUGGCCAGAGAUAAUUAGCGAUAAUUUAAUAGAUUUUUAUUUGGAAAAAGGAGUUGAAUAUUUUCAAAAUUUUGACUCUGAUAAAAGUUUUAAAGCUUCAUUAAGAUCGUACAAAUCCCAAAAUAAAAAAUUUGGAAUAUCAAUGGUAUACAAAAUUUUGGUAAACGGGGAAACGGUAAGGAGGCAGUGGAUUUUAUAUUCUCUCAGCACCGGAAAUAUUGACUGCUUUUCUUGCAAACUUUUUAAUUUCAACAAAAGUGCAUCAUUUUGUUGUGGGUUCUCAGAUUGGAAAAAGGGUCCUGAAAAAAUCGAACUCCACGAAAACAGCAAAUAGCAUAGGACUUGUAUGAAUAAACUUCUUUUGAGAAAGAAUUUAAAAAAACGAGUAGACAAAACUAUUGCAGAAGCCUUUCAGAAAGAAAAUAAUUAUUGGAUUGAUGUUUUUAAAAGAAUUGUAGUUGUAAUUAAAUUUCUGGCAGCAAGGGGUCUGCCUUUUCGUGGUGACAAUGAGAUUUUUGGGUCACCAUGUCUUUACAUGGGAAUGUUGGAACUAUUUGCCAAAUUUGAUCCUUUUAUAGAUAAUCAUAUUAAGAAUUAUGGGAGUAAAGGUGAAGGCACUGUUUUUUAUUUGUCUAAGACUAUCUGCGAGGAGUUUAUCCAAAUAAUGUCCGAUAAAGUACUAAAAAAGAUUAUAGAAGAUAUAAUAACAUCAAAAUAUUUUUCAAUAAUAGUGGAUUCUACUCCAGAUUUAUCGCACGUAGAUCAGUUAUCGAUAAUUAUCCGCUUUUGCUCUAGUGAAAAGGGUGGGCAAGUAUAUGAGAGAUUUUUAGGAUUUGUACCUAUUUUCAGUCAUACUGGUAAAUCCCUGUCGGAGGUUGUUAUAAAUUUUUUUACAAAAAAUACGCUGGAUUUAAAAUUUUGUCGUGGACAGUCAUACGACAAUGCUAGUAAUAUGUCGGGGCAGUAUAAUGGCCUUCAAGCAUAUAUAAAAGAAUCUACAAAGGUAGCUUUUUACGUGCCAUGUUUUGCACAUUCUUUAAAUUUAGUUGGAGAAUGUGCUGUUGACGAUUGCCUUGAUGCUACAAAGUUUUUUAAUUUUUUGCAAAAAUUGUAUGCUUUUUUUGGGUCCUCCACACAUCGAUGGCAUUUGCUUUUAGAUAAUAUUGGCAAAAACCUUAUUGUCAAAUCGUUAAGUACCACUCGUUGGAGCUGUAGAGAAGAUGCAGCAAAAGCGUUAGUAACAAGCUAUGUCCAAAUAAACAGCUGCUUAAAAAUGAUGUCGGAUGAUCCAUCAGAAAAAAAAGACACCAAGUUAGAAGCCAUGGGACUUUCUAAACAAAUGAUAAAAAUGGAGACUCUUGUAAUGGCUACCUUUUGGAGCAAAAUUUUAAGACUUUUUGGGGAAGCUUCUAAUAUACUUCAAAAGCCAGAUGUGGAUUUGUUGUUUGGUGAAAACAUUUUAAAAGGGCUAAUCAGAAGUGUUUCCUGUUUCCGAGACCAAUUUGACUUGUUUGAAGAAGAAGCCAAAAGUUUACUACCACAGGAAGAAUAUGAGUAUUCUAUGGGCAGGUCAGAGCAACAAAAAAAUACCCGGACGGUAAAAAUGAAAUAUUAUUGAAUGAAAGAGAAUUAUUUCGCACGCAGUCAUUUUUAGUAACAGUAGAUAAGCUGGUCAAUGAAUUAGAACGACGGUGUAAUGCAUAUUCAGAUCUUGCCCAGUUGUUUGGUUUGAUUUCAAAACUUAGCUCUAAUGUAUGUUUAUCUAAAUCAGAAGUUGAAGAGUUUUCUGCAAAAGUAAUAAGCGUGUACGCAGAUGACCUAAAUAUUAAUUUAACAGAUGAGCUGGUAUUUUUCUCGGAACUUCUUAAAACAUCUUCCGAAAAAAUAUGCACUCCACUUGAUCUUUUAAGAUAUAUUUCAGAACACCAAUUAAUUGACACGUUUUCUAACGUAUAUACGAUUUUGAAAAUUUAUCUAUCGAUACCAAUAGCAAAUUGUGAAUCUGAACGUUCCUUUUCCAAGCUAGUUUAUAUAAAAAAUAAAUAUAGAGCCACAAUGCAGGAGGAACGUCUGUCUUCUUUAACAUUAAUGUGUAUAGAAAGGGAUGUUUUGAAGGAUUUAGAGUUUAACGACGUAAUAGAAGAUUUUGUAAAACUGAAAUUACGAAAAAAGGUAUUUUAAUAUUCCUAUUUUCAAAAAAACCGUUUCUUUUAUAUAAGUAAUAUAUAUGUAGUGUUAUAAAUAAUAUUUUUUGCAUUUUAUUUGUAAGGGUUUGGGAUCCUUUAUUAGCCCCGGGCCCCAUAAAACCUUAAUCCGGCCAUGCCUUAGUCAAGAGAUUCAGCUCUAUAGAAUUGUACAAUAAGGCGUACAAUUGUAUAAAGCAUAAACCAUUAAAUAACUGUCAAUGUAAUUUUUAGUUUGACAGUUAUUUAUUUACUUUUUGUUUGAUUUUCCCACCUUUUUGCUAUUAGGAAUAAACUUUUUAGGGUCACUAAUAUACGUGAGUGGAGCCAUUGUUAAUAAAAAGCAAAUUACGCUUGUAAAUUGAAUAAGUGAAAAAUUGUUCCUUUGUUAUUAACAAACAACAGUAUAGUUUUGUACGUCUUAAGUUUCUAGAAUUUGGAUAAAAAA
rnacentral:misc_RNA from 1 species